UUCUCAUAGCAUUCCUUUCAUUCACCACCUUCUGUUCUUCAACCCAGCAAUGGCUUUUGCUUCCUUGUCUCAAUUUUGUUCCAUAUACCUUCAAGCAAUCAUUUCUCUGUGUGUGAACUUAAUCUGGCUUCAAAAUAUCAGUGCUGCAUCUGCAUCAGGAAAUGAGACUGACUAUAUGGCAUUGCUCAAGUUUAAAGAAUCAAUAGCCAAUGAUCCAUUUGAAGCCUUGAGCUCCUGGAAUAGUUCAAGUCACCUCUGCAACUGGCAUGGAAUCACAUGCAGCCAAAAGCACCAAAGAGUCAUUGAGUUGAGGCUGCCCGGAUAUCAUUUGCGUGGGGUCCUCUCACCCCAUGUUGGCAACCUCUCUUUCCUGAGAAACCUCUACCUUCCAAAUAACAGCUUCUAUGGAGAAAUCCCACCAGAAUUGGGUCAUUUGUUCAGACUACAGAAACUCUCUCUCAGAAAUAAUAUGUUGACAGGAGAGAUUCCACUCAGCCUGACAAACUGCACUGAACUACAGCACGUAAAUUUGUCAAGCAAUAGUCUUACAGGUAAAAUACCAUUUGAGAUUGGCUCUCUCAGGAAGCUUGAAAAGUUGAACUUAUUUACCAACAAUUUAACUGGAGAAAUCCCAGCUUCCAUGUGGAAUCUUUCCUCUCUUAAUGUUCUUUCGGUGGCUUUUAACAACUUGGAGGGGAUCAUACCAGAAGAAAUAGGCCAUUUGAAAAGCUUGAGUGUUUUAUCAAUAGUUGAGAACAAAUUUUUUGGUAUGCUUCCUUACUCAUUCUAUAAUAUGUCAUCUCUCACAUUCAUAUCUGCAGCAAAUAACCAACUGAGUCGCACUAAGCUUCCAGACAACAUGUUCACCACCCUCCCUAAUUUGCAAUCUUUUGGCAUAGGUGGGAAUCAAAUAUCAAGUUCGAUACCAACUUCAAUAACAAAUGCAACCUUUCUUCAACUAUUUGACAUUGGUGUAAACAACUUUUUUGGAGAAGUUCCAAGCCUAGGAAGCCUAAAAGACUUGCAGUGGUUAAAUUUGAACUAUAAUAAUCUUGGAAAUAGUUCAAAUCAUGACUUGGAUUUUAUAUCAUCUUUGGAAAAUUGUACCAAACUAGAAAAUUUGAUUCUUUCCACCAAUAGAUUCGGAGGUCUUUUACCCGACUCCAUAAGUAAUUUGUCAACCCAACUCAUACGACUGUACCUUGGUGAUAAUCAGAUAUAUGGAACUAUUCCUGAAACUUUAGGAAGGUACACGAAUUUAAUUGCGUUGGUGCUGGAAUACAACCAGUUUACAGGCUCAAUUCCAGCUUCUUUUGGAAAGUUUCAUGAGUUGCAAAUAUUAGGCUUGGGGAGAAACCAACUCUCUGGUGAGAUACCAGCCUCCUUGGCCAAUCUCAGUCAAUUGGUUCAACUAAGCUUUUCACAGAAUAUGCUUGAAGGAAAAAUUCCACCAGUGAUAGAAAGUUGGCAAAAUAUAGUCUUUCUGGACCUUUCAGAAAACAAUCUUAGUGGUGCUAUACCCUUGCAGGUUUUUAGUCUGUUCUCCUUGUCCACAUUGCUGAACUUAUCUCACAACUCAUUAAACGGCUCUCUUCCUAUUGAGGUGGGAAAACUUAAAAAUAUUGGCACUUUUGAUAUUUCUGAAAAUUAUCUUUCUGGGGAGAUUCCUCGGACCAUAGGUGACUGUACAAGUUUGGAAUACCUUAGCUUACAGGGGAAUUCGUUCAAUGGCUCCAUGCCCCCUUCACUAGCUUCACUAAAAGGCCUUAAGUAUCUUGAUCUAUCACACAACAACUUGUCUGGAUCAAUACCAAAAGGUCUACAGAAUAUUUCCAUUCUUGAAUACCUGAAUGUUUCAUUUAAUGCGUUGGAUGGUGAAGUUCCCACAGAUGGGGUUUUCAAGAAUGCAAGUGCCAUAUUUGUUGCGGGUAAUUAUAAGCUUUGUGGGGGUAUUUAUGAGUUGCAUUUACCACCAUGCCCUUUCAAUAUUAGGACAAAAAGUAAACAUCUUCAUUUGAAGCUUUUGGUUAUUAUUAUUUGUGUUGCUGUUUGUCUUGUGCUAGCAUCUAUAUCUGCUAUCUACUGGUGGAGGAAACGAAACAGGAUAUUGUCUUCUACUUCACAACCAAUUGACCAGCUCUCCAAGUUGUCAUACCAGAGAUUACACUCUGCCACUGAAGGGUUCUCUUCCAAGAACUUGAUUGGAUAUGGAAGUUCUGGUUUUGUGUAUAAAGGAAUGCUGCAAUCAGAAGACAAAGUUGUUGCUAUAAAGGUCCUAAACCUUCAAAAGAAGGGAGCUCACAAGAGUUUCAUUUCUGAAUGUAAUGCACUUAAAAAUAUCAGGCAUCGAAAUUUAGUUAAGGUUUUAACAUGCUGCUCCAGCUUAGAUUAUAAAGGGCAAGAAUUUAAAGCCUUGGUCUUUGAGUACAUGUCAAAUGGAAGCUUGGAAGAAUGGUUGCAUCCAAGUCCAGGAAGUAUAGAUCAGACUAGAACUUUGAAUUUCACUAAAAGAUUAAGUAUUCUAAAUGAUGUUGCUUGUGCCCUACAUUAUCUUCAUUAUGAAUGUGAGAAAACUAUUGUCCAUUGUGACUUAAAGCCAAGCAAUAUUCUUCUUGAUGAUGAUAUGGUUGCUCAUGUAAGUGACUUUGGGUUAGCAAGACUUCUCUCAAUCCUUAGUGGCAGUUCUCAGAAGCAAAGCAGCACAGUUGGAAUAAAAGGCACUAUUGGCUAUGCUCCUCCUGAGUAUGGAAUGGGUUCUGAGGUAUCAACACAAGGUGAUGUUUAUUCUUUUGGGAUUCUGGUUUUGGAAAUGCUUACUGGCAAAAGACCCACUGAGGAAAUGUUCAAAGAUGGCCACAAUCUCCAUAACUAUGCAAAAACUGCAUACCCAGAUAACAUCGUGGACAUCGUAGACUCAGCUCUUCUGUCAAAAGAAAUAAAGCAGACUGCAACAGCAAGAUCAGAGAAAAUAAACAUGGAAAACCAGACCCUGAUCUCACUAUUUAGCAUUGGACUUGCUUGCUCAGAAGAAACACCAAAAGAAAGAGCGAACAUGAUGAAUACCACAAGGAGACUAAAUCUGAUUACUACUGCCUUUUGUGGCCACGGAAAUUGAAUCCAAAAGAAAGAAUGGAAAGUGCUACUUCAGAAGUGCUAUUAUUAUCAAUUUCUUGAUCAGUAAGACAAGCUAUUAUUAUAUAAAUUUGUGGUUGGAAUGUUUAUACACGCUCAUAUAAUAUUGUUGUUAUUUAAAGUUUUAAAUAUUCGAAUGUUUGUAACCAUUUUAUACAGCUGGGGGAGAGAAAGACGGAUGUUUAGAGGAAGAAACAAGGGGCGAAAUUAAGGCAUGGAAGGUCAAGCUUUAAAACGUUAUAACUUUGGUGCUUGGUGGCGUGGUAGAAGUAAUUCUUUCUUGUUUUAGGAAACUACUGGACAUGGAAAUGAUGCAAAAUGAACUUUCACCUUCAAAAAACUUCAUUAUUUUUUCUGAUAAUCAGAUAAAAAUGCAAUUUGCCAACCCAACUCAUUGGACUGUACCUUCGUGAUAAUCAGAUAUAUGGAACCAUUCCUGAAUCUUUAGGAAGGUACACAGAUUUAAUUGGCUGGCGGAAAGUUCCUUGCACACUACGUUAUCUUCCUUAUGAAUGUGAGCAAACUAUUGUCCAUUGUGACUUAAAGCCAAGCAAUGUUUUUCUUGACGAUGAUAUGAUUGCCCAUGUAAGUGACUUUGGGUUAGCAAGGCUUCUGUCAAUCCUCAAUGGCAGUUCUCAAAAGCAAACCAACACAAUUGGAAUAAAAGGGACCAUUGGCUAUGCUCCUCCUGAGUAUGGAGUAGGUUCUGAGGUAUCAACACAAGGUGAUGUUUACUCUUUAAGGAUUCUAGUUUUGGAAAUGCUUACUGCUAAAAGGCCCGCCGAAGAAAUGUUCAAAGAUGGUCACAGUCUCCAUAGCUAUGAGAAAACUGCAUACCCAGAUAACAUAUUGAACAUGGUGGACUCAGCUGUAAUGAAGACCCGGUAAGAUCAGGGAAAUCAACAUGCAGAAUCAGAGACUGAUGCAUUCUAAUGAAGAGAAGUCUAUAGUUUCACUAUUUAACAUUGGACUUGCUUGCUCAGAAGAAUCUCCCAGAGAAAGAGAGAACCUAAUGGAUAUCACAAGGAGGCUCAAUCUAAUUAGAAAUGGU